UGCCUUUGUGUUACUCAUUCAUUCCUGUCCAGAAUGAAAGUGACGCCAAAAAAGGCAAACAGGAAUUCUUGCUCAGACUGUUUAAGGAGCUGGUUAUUUAACUUCUCCUCCUUGUUUUUGCAAGAACAGAA